AAGAAAUCUCCUUCUCCCUCACCUUGUUUGCUAAAUCAGUAUCAAAAUCUCAAAGGUUAUAGUUUUAUUUUCUUUCUUCUCAUUCUCUCGUUCUCCUCUCCAGAUGAAAUCCCAACUUUGUCAUAUCUCCUCAUCUUCAUCCUUCUAUUAAGAACCAGAAAGAAAACCAAUUUUCUUCUUGUAUUCAUCUCUACAGAUCCAUUUGCUAAUUACCUUAACCAAUCGACCUUCAUGAACCUAAAAGCCACCACUACGAACCAGAAAGAAAAACUCAACCAUUAAAAUCCCUUCUUCUAAAACCAUUUCUUCGAAACCCUUACCUUCGAAAUAAACCCAUUUUCUAUUGUUCUUGAAUCAAUUUCAUGUUCGAAAGAAACCCACUUUCAUUUUUCUUCACAAUUUCCUUUUCGUGCUUGUUAGGGGUUUUAUUUUCUACAAACUUUAUCAGGUAAAAGUUGGGAUUUUUCUCUAAUUUUCAUCAUUAGAGUCAGGGUUUGAUUUUGGUUGGCAGGGUUUUAAUUAUCACUCAGUUUAUUGUAGCAAAUUGCUAGAAGAACAUUUAACAUCUUUGAAGAUUUCCAACCUUCAGAUCGUUGGUGGUGGUGGAGGUUGUGUGGACUGAACUGGUGUUGAUGACUGGAUGCUUGGAGAGGGAAUCAAUGAAUUCGAUAAAGCACUGGUGGUGAUGGUAACCAGCUCGGUGGUGGUGGUGUAGGUUGUAUGGACUGAACUAGUGGUGGUGAAGAGGUGUUUGGAGAGGGAGAGCAAUUUGCAGGUGCUGUUAAAAGGGUGAACAUGAACUUAUGGGAAAGGUCUUCUUUGGUAUUGUUGUUGGUGCAAAUUCAGGCCAAUCUCUUGCUUGACAAGCACCAUUAGGUGCAGGGUUACCUAAUACUGUAAUCUGCACUACCACAAACAAAGUUUGGGCAUCAUGAAUGAAAGUAAUUUAGAAAUAUGGCUUAUAUGCUGCAAUCUGUGCUUCCGUAGCAAUGCUAAGUAUCUGGUGCUAUUCCUCGAAGAUUCACAGGGCAACCCGGAGCUGUGCAAUUCCAAAUGAAAAUUGUUAACAAUAAG